AUGCGCCUUUAAAAAGGUACGGUAGGUGAUUACCGUACACUCUUAAAGGCGCAUGC
rnacentral:pre_miRNA from 1 species